rnacentral:rRNA from 1 species
UGGGGAAUAUUGGAAAAUGGAGGAAACUCUGAUCCAGCAAUUCUGUGUGUGUGAAGAAGGUUUUAGGACUGUAAAACACUUUUAGUAGGGAAGAAAAAAAUGACGGUACCUACAGAAGAAGCAACGGCUAAAUACGUGCCAGCAGCCGCGGUAAUACGUAUGUUGCGAGCGUUAUCCGGAAUUAUUGGGCUUAAAGGGCAUCUAGGCGGUAAGACAAGUUGAAGGUGAAAACCUGUGGCUCAACCAUAGGCUUGCCUACAAAACUGUUGAACUAGAGUACUGGAAAGGUGGGUGGAACUACACGAGUAGAGGUGAAAUUCGUAGAUAUGUGUAGGAAUGCCGAUGAUGAAGAUAACUCACUGGACAGAAACUGACGCUGAAGUGCGAAAGCUAGGGGAGCAAACAGG